UUACCUGGUCUUGACAUGCCCGUCAUAGUUUUCCGAAAGGAAUUCGUCAGUUCGGCUGGACGGUGCACAGGUGCUGCAUGGCUGUCGUCAGCUCGUGUCGUGAGAUGUUCGGUUAAGUCCGGCAACGAGCGCAACCCUCGUUUCCAGUUGCCAGCGGGUAAUGCCGGGGACUCUGGAAAGACAAACCUCUUGUUGAGGUGGGAAGGUGGGGACGACGUCAAGUCAGUAUGGCCCUUACGACGCAGGGCUGCACACGUGCUACAAUGCCCGGCACAAUGGGAUGCAAUAUCGCGAGAUUGAGCAAAUCCACAAAACCGGGCCCAGUUCGGAUUGGAGUCUGCAACUCGACUCCAUGAAGUUGGAAUCGCUAGUAAUGGCGUAUCAGCAAUGACGCCGUGAAUACGUUCCCGGGCCUUGUACACACCGCCCGUCACAUCAUGAAAGCCGGUUCUGCCCGAAGUACGUGAGUUAACCGCAAGGAGACAGCGUCCUAAGGUGGGGCUGGUGAUUGGGAUGAAGUCGUAACAAGUAGCC
rnacentral:rRNA from 1 species